rnacentral:rRNA from 1 species
AAUCAAGUGCCUUAAGGGUGUUCGGUGGAUGCCUUGGCGCUGAGAGGCGAUGAAGGACGUGCUACGCUGCGAUAAGCCGUGGGGAGCUGCGAAGAAGCUUUGAUCCGCGGAUUUCCGAAUGGGGAAACCCACCUUCGAUAGCCGGAACUCCAAGACCUUGUGUCUUGGUGUUCGACCAGAAAUGAUCGGGACCAUGACCGCGAGGUUUUGGAUUUCCGGUUAUCAAGAGAAGGUAUGAGACUUCUGAAUACAUAGGAGGUUUCAAGCAAACCCAGGGAACUGAAACAUCUAAGUACCUGGAGGAAAGGACAUCAACAGAGACUCCGUUAGUAGUGGCGAGCGAACGCGGACCAGGCCAGUGAUACAUCAAAGACAAUCGGAACCAGUCAGGAAAGCUGGGCCU